rnacentral:rRNA from 1 species
GACGAACGCUGGCGGCGCGCUUAACACAUGCAAGUCGAACGGAAAGGCCUGCUUUCCCUUGUGGAUUGCGGGUACUCGCGUGGCGAACGGGUGAGUAACACGUGAGUGAUCUGCCCCCAACUUGGGUAUAAGCCUGGGAAACUGGGUCUAAUUCCCGAUAGGACUGCAGGGUGGUGCCUGUGGUGGAAAACGAUUUUCUAGUGGUUGGGGAUGAGCUCGCGGCCUAUCAGCUUGUUGGUGGGGUAAUGGCCUACCAAGGCGGCGACGGGUAGCCGGCCUGAGAGGGUGGACGGCCACAUUGGGACUGAGAUACGGCCCAGACUCCUACGGGAGGCAGCAGUGGGGAAUAUUGCACAAUGGGCGGAAGCCUGAUGCAGCGACGCCGCGUGGGGGAUGACGGCCUUCGGGUUGUAAACUCCUUUCGACCGCGAGGAAGCCACCUGGUUGGAAGGGUGGUGACGGUAGUGGUAGAAGAAGCACCGGCUAACUACGU